rnacentral:rRNA from 1 species
GACGAACGCUGGCGGCGUGCCUAAUACAUGCAAGUCGAACGAAGCUGUUUUAACUGGUGCUUGCACCGACUUAAAAAACUGAGUGGCGAACGGGUGAGUAACACGUGGGUAACCUGCCCCAAAGCGGGGGAUAACAUUUGGAAACAGAUGCUAAUACCGCAUAACCACAGAAACCACAUGGUUUCUGUUGCAAAGAUGGUUUCGGCUAUCACUUUGGGAUGGACCCGCGGCGUAUUAGAUAGUUGGGAAGGUAAUGGCUUACAAAGGCAAUGAUACGUAGCCGAACUGAGAUGUUGAGCGGCCACAUUGGGACUGAGCCACGGCCCAAACACCUACGGGAGGCAGCAGUAGGGAAUCUUCCACAAUGGACGAAAGUCUGAUGGAGCAACGCCGCGUGAGUGAAGAAGGUUUUCGGAUCGUAAAACUCUGUUGUCAGAGAAGAACGUGUGCGAGAGUAACUGCUCGUGCAGUGACGGUAUCUGGCCAGAAAGCCACGGCUAACUACGUGCCAGCCGCCGCCGUAA